ACUCCUACGGGAGGCAGCAGUAAGGAAUAUUGCGCAAUGGGCGAAAGCCUGACGCAGCGACGCCGCGUGGGGGAUGAAGGUCUUCGGAUUGUAAACCCCUUUCGGGAGGGAAGAUGGAGCGAGCAAUCGUUCGGACGGUACCUCCAGAAGCAGCCACGGCCAACUUCGUGCCAGCAGCCGCGGUAAUACGAAGGUGGCAAGCGUUGUUCGGAUUCACUGGGCGUACAGGGUGUGUAGGCGGUUUGGUAAGCCUUCUGUUAAAGCUUCGGGCCCAACCCGGAAAGCGCAGAGGGUACUGCCAGGCUAGAGGGUGGGAGAGGAGCGCGGAAUUCCCG
rnacentral:rRNA from 1 species